rnacentral:misc_RNA from 1 species
GAUGAAGAACGUAGCAAAAUGCGAUAAGUAAUGUGAAUUGCAGAAUUCAGUGAAUCAUCGAAUCUUUGAACGCACAUUGCGCCCGCUGGUAUUCCGGCGGGCAUGCCUGUUCGAGCGUCAUUUCAACCCUCAAGCCCCCGGGUUUGGUGUUGGGGAUCGGCUCUGCCCUUCUGGGCGGUGCCGCCCCCGAAAUACAUUGGCGGUCUCGCUGCAGCCUCCAUUGCGUAGUAGCUAACACCUCGCAACUGGAACGCGGCGCGGCCAUGCCGUAAAACCCCAACUUCUGAAAGUUGACCUCGGAUCAGGUAGGAAUACCCGCUGAACUUAAGCAUAUCAAUAAGCGGAGGA